AUUGAACGCUGGCGGCAGGCCUAACCCCUGCAAGUCGAGCGCGCGGCGGACGGGUGAGUAAUGUCUGGGGACUGCCCGAUCGCGGGGGAUAACUACUGGAAACGGUAGCUAAUACCGCAUACUAUCGGAUCACCCAUAUGGGAUUAGCUAGUAGGUGAGGUAAUGGCUCACCUAGGGGACGAUCCCUAGCUGGUCUGAGGGGAUGAGCAGCCAAACGGGGACGGGGACACGGCCCAGACUCCUACGGAGGCAGCAGGGGGGAAUAUUGCACAAGGGGGGAAAGCCUGAUGCAGCCAGGCCGCGUGUAUGAAGAAGGCCCUAGGGUUGUAAAGUACUUUCAGUCGGGAGGCGUUACCGACAGAAGAAGCACCGGCUAACUCCGUGCCAGCAGCCGCGGUAAUAC
rnacentral:rRNA from 1 species